CGCCUUAUACUCCUACGGGAGGCAGCAGUGGGGAAUUUUGGACAAUGGGGGCAACCCUGAUCCAGCAAUGCCGCGUGAGUGAAGAAGGCCUUCGGGUUGUAAAGCUCUUUUGUCAGGGAAGAAACGGUAGUAGCUAAUAUCUAUUACUAAUGACGGUACCUGAAGAAUAAGCACCGGCUAACUACGUGCCAGCAGCCGCGGUAAUACGUAGGGUGCAAGCGUUAAUCGGAAUUACUGGGCGUAAAGCGUGCGCAGGCGGUUGUGUAAGUCAGAUGUGAAAUCCCCGGGCUCAACCUGGGAAUUGCGUUUGAGACUGAACGGCUAGAGUGUGUCAGAGGGGGGUAGAAUUCCGCGUGUAGCAGUGAAAUGCGGAGAUAUUUGGAGGAAUACCGAUGGCGAAGGCAACCCCCUGGGAUAACACUGACGCUCAUGCACGAAAGCGUGGGGAGCAAACAUCAGUAGUAACCCCAGUAGUCCACGUACCA
rnacentral:rRNA from 1 species